UACGUAGGGUGCAAGCGUUAAUCGGAAUUACUGGGCGUAAAGCGUGCGCAGGCGGUUAUGCAAGACAGAGGUGAAAUCCCCGGGCUCAACCUGGGAACUGCAUUCGAUACUGCCUUGCUCGAGUACUGGAGAGGAGACUGGAAUUUACGGUGUAGCAGUGAAAUGCGUAGAUAUCGUAAGGAAGACCAGUGGCGAAGGCGAGUCUCUGGACAGUUACUGACACUGAGGCACGAAGGCCAGGGGAGCAAACGGG
rnacentral:rRNA from 1 species